rnacentral:rRNA from 1 species
AUUGAACGCUGGCGGCAGGCCUAACACAUGCAAGUCGAACGAGCGGCGGACGGGUGAGAAAUGUGUGGGGAUCUGCCUGAUGGAGGGGGAUAACUACUGGAAGCGGUAGCUAAUCCCGCAUACCAUCAGAUGACCCCAUAUGGGAUUAGCUUGUAGGUGAGGUAACGGCUCACCUAGGCGACGAUCCCUAGCUGGUCUGAGAGGAUGACCAGCCACACUGGAACUGAGACACGGUCCAGACUCCUACGGGAGGCAGCAGUGGUGAAUAUUGCACAAUGGGCGCAAGCCUGAUGCAGCCAUGCCGCGUGUAUGAAGAAGGCCUUCGGGUUGUAAAGUACUUUCAGCGGGGAGGCGUUACCGGCAGAAGAAGCACCGGCUAACUCCGUGCCAGCAGCCGCGGUAAUUC